rnacentral:rRNA from 1 species
AUACGUAGGGAGCGAGCGUUGUCCGGAAUUACUGGGCGUAAAGGGCGCGUAGGCGGCGCUUCAAGUCGUCUGUCAAAUGGGAGGGCUUAACCCUUUUUCGCAGACGAAACUGGAGAGCUUGAGAAGCAGAGAGCCAAACAGAAUUCCUGGUGUAGCGGUGAAAUGCGUAGAUAUCAGGAAGAAUACCAGUGGCGAAGGCGGUUUGCUGGCUGCAUACUGACGCUGAAGCGCGAAAGCCAGGGGAGCAAACGGGAUUAGAUACCCCGGUAGUCCUGGCAGUAAACGAUGUAUGCUGGGUGUGAGACUAGCGAUAGUUUCGUGCCGAAGUUAACGCGAUAAGCAUACCGCCUGGGGAGUACGGUCGCAAGAUUGAAACUCAAAGGAAUUGACGGGG